rnacentral:lncRNA from 10 species
CAAAAACCACAUGAUAUCUCAAUAGAAGCAGAAAAGGCUUUGAUAAAAGUCCAUACCCCUUCUUGUUAAAAAAAAAAAGUAAAGAAGUGACUAUCAGAUCUUAAAAAAUCUAGUCUAGAAUCUCCUUAUUACAACUGGCUACCUCCCUUAUAUUCAGCUAGCCUUAUUAAAUCCUGGCCCACUCUCCAGGGGCCUGUGUAUAAAUGAUGAAUGUGUAACUGGUAAGACUG